AGGGACGUGGGGGGCGUGCUAAUACAUGCAAGUCGAACGAACUCUGGUAUUGAUUGGUGCUUGCAUCAUGAUUUACAUUUGAGUGAGUGGCGAACUGGUGAGUAACACGUGGGAAACCUGCCCAGAAGCGGGGGAUAACACCUGGAAACAGAUGCUAAUACCGCAUAACAACUUGGACCGCAUGGUCCGAGUUUGAAAGAUGGCUUCGGCUAUCACUUUUGGAUGGUCCCGCGGCGUAUUAGCUAGAUGGUGGGGUAACGGCUCACCAUGGCAAUGAUACGUAGCCGACCUGAGAGGGUAAUCGGCCACAUUGGGACUGAGACACGGCCCAAACUCCUACGGGAGGCAGCAGUAGGGAAUCUUCCACAAUGGACGAAAGUCUGAUGGAGCAACGCCGCGUGAGUGAAGAAGGGUUUCGGCUCGUAAAACUCUGUUGUUAAAGAAGAACAUAUCUGAGAGUAACUGUUCAGGUAUUGACGGUAUUUAACCAGAAAGCCACGGCUAACUACGUGCCAGCAGCCGCGGUAAUACGUAGGUGGCAAGCGUUGUCCGGAUUUAUUGGGCGUAAAGCGAGCGCAGGCGGUUUUUUAAGUCUGAUGUGAAAGCCUUCGGCUCAACCGAAGAAGUGCAUCGGAAACUGGGAAACUUGAGUGCAGAAGAGGACAGUGGAACUCCAUGUGUAGCGGUGAAAUGCGUAGAUAUAUGGAAGAACACCAGUGGCGAAGGCGGCUGUCUGGUCUGUAACUGACGCUGAGGCUCGAAAGUAUGGGUAGCAAACAGGAUUAGAUACCCUGGUAGUCCAUACCGUAAACGAUGAAUGCUAAGUGUUGGAGGGUUUCCGCCCUUCAGUGCUGCAGCUAACGCAUUAAGCAUUCCGCCUGGGGAGUACGGCCGCAAGGCUGAAACUCAAAGGAAUUGACGGGGGCCCGCACAAGCGGUGGAGCAUGUGGUUUAAUUCGAAGCUACGCGAAGAACCUUACCAGGUCUUGACAUACUAUGCAAAUCUAAGAGAUUAGACGUUCCCUUCGGGGACAUGGAUACAGUGGUGCAUGGUUGUCGUCAGCUCGUGUCGUGAGAUGUGGUUAGUCCCGCACGAGCGCAACCCUUAUUAUCAGUUGCCAGCAUUAAGUUGGGCCACUCCUGGUUGAGA
rnacentral:rRNA from 2 species